rnacentral:rRNA from 1 species
AGUGAAUGCUUGUAAUAUACUUAACACAUGCAAGUUGAACGUGCAACUAUUGUUGUGAGUGGCGUACGGGUGAGUAAUGCAGAGGAACACAUUUUGCAGUAAGGUAUUAUGUUUAUGCAGAAAUUCCUUAUACUUAAAGAUUAUGAUCGCUGUAAAAUUGGCCUUUGUAAGAUUAGGUAGUAGGUGAGGUAAUAGCUCACCUAGCCGAAGAUCUUUAACUGGCUGAGAGGAUGAUCAGUCACACCGGAACUGAAAUAAGGUUCGGACUCCCUUGGGAGGCAGCAGUGAGGAAUAUUGGACAAUGUGCGAAAGCAUGAUCCUGUAAUAUUACCUGAGUGAAGACG